AACGAACGCUGGCGGCGCGCCUAAUACAUGCAAGUCGAGCGAGAAGACGUAGCAAUACGUUUGUAAAGCGGCGAACGGGUGAGGAAUACAUGGGUAACCUACCCUCGAGUGGGGAAUAACUAGCCGAAAGGUUAGCUAAUACCGCGUACGCUCCUUGGACUUCGGUUCAGGGAGGAAAGCGAUACCGUGGGUAUCGCGCUCUUGGAUGGGCUCAUGUUCUAUCAGCUUGUUGGUGAGGAACGGCUCACCAAGGCUUCGACGGGUAGCUGGUCUGAGAGGACAAUCAGCCACACUGGCACUGCGACACGGGCCAG
rnacentral:rRNA from 1 species